AAAUUCUGCCCUAUGAUUAUGUUAAAUGGCUGCAGUAUUUUGACUGUACAAAGGUAGCAUAAUAAUUAGUCUUUUAAUUAAGGGCUUGUAUGAAUGAAUAAAUGAGAAAUUUAUUAUAAUUAAUUAUAUUAUUUAAAUUUAAUUUUUAAGUAAAAAAGCUUAAUUAAUUUUUUGGGACGAAAAGACCCUAAAGAACUAUAUUAAAUUAUUUUUGUUUAAUUUUUAUUUUAAAUUGAAUUAUUUUUUUUAAUUUUAUUGGGGUGAUAAUUAAAUUUAAACUUUAUUUAUUUAUUUCUUUUAUUUAAGAUUAAUUUGAUUCAUUAUUAUGAUACAAGAAAAAGUUACCUUAGGGAUAACAGCGUAAUUUAGAUGGGGAGUUCAUAUUUAUAUUUAAGUUUGCGACCUCGAUGUUGAAUUAAGAUUACUUUUUGGGGUAGAUUCUAUUUUUAUAAGUC
rnacentral:rRNA from 1 species